rnacentral:misc_RNA from 1 species
UAAUAAGUGUUUUAUGGCACUUUUUAAAUCCAUAUCCACCUUGUGUGCAAUGUCAGCUCGAUCUUUCUUCAUGGAUGAAUCGGCCAAACAUCAACCUUUAUCUUUUUAACUGUCUGUCUGAAAAACUAUUAUGAAUAAACAAUUCAUAAUA